AUUCCUCCUUAACUUGGAGCAGUUGGAACUUAAAACCUUUCCAAGAUAUGAUAAACAAGUACUUCUCUGCUUCAAAGAGUUUAUCUGAAAAUCUCGGAGAAAGAACGGCUCUAUUUGAAACCACUGAAAGAACAAAUGGAUUUACAUUUCUAAGAAACAUAUUAAAUUAUGUUACCUCCUACAGUGGCAAUUUAAAAUGGACCUGAGAGGCAACUUUUUCAUAUCAAGGAUGGUGCGUAUGUGGAAUGAACUGCAAAAGUGGCAGAUGCAGAUUAUCUGCUCACAGCGCUCACAUCGAAAUCACUGUGGCUAGAUUUCUUACAGGCUUGGUGCAUCUACAAAGGAAAUGAAGAAGGAGGCAGGGAAUACAAUUGCAACAAAUAGAACAGGAACCUGAAACACACAGUCACAUUAAGUCUCCAGAGGAAGGACCAGUGAGAAUGAAGACAUCCCACAUCUAGAGGUCUUGUUAUUUUCUUCAGUUGGCUGAAAGGCAGUGCAGGCAUUGAUAAGACCAUAAGACCAUAAGACAUAGGAGUGGAAGUAAGGCCGUUCGGCCCAUCAAGUCCACUCUGCCAUUUAAAUCAUGGCUGAUGGGCAUUUCAACUCCACUUCCCUGCACUCUCCCCGUAGCCCUUGAUUCCUUGUGAGAUCAAGAAUUUGUCGAUCUCUGCCUUGAA